rnacentral:rRNA from 1 species
GCCAGCAGCCAUAUCUUGCACAACUGGCAGCCCACAGAAGCAGGUGUGAGCCUGGUAAAUACCUGGAUGGGAGACUCCUGGGAAAACCAAGGUUGCUGCUGGAA